rnacentral:rRNA from 1 species
GACGAACGCUGGCGGCGUGCCUAAUACAUGCAAGUAGAACGCUGAAGAGAGGAGCUUGCUCUUCUUGGAUGAGUUGCGAACGGGUGAGUAACGCGUAGGUAACCUGCCUUGUAGCGGGGGAUAACUAUUGGAAACGAUAGCUAAUACCGCAUAACAAUGGAUGACACAUGUCAUUUAUUUGAAAGGGGCAAUUGCUCCACUACAAGAUGGACCUGCGUUGUAUUAGCUAGUAGGUGAGGUAAUGGCUCACCUAGGCGACGAUACAUAGCCGACCUGAGAGGGUGAUCGGCCACACUGGGACUGAGACACGGCCCAGACUCCUACGGGAGGCAGCAGUAGGGAAUCUUCGGCAAUGGGGGCAACCCUGACCGAGCAACGCCGCGUGAGUGAAGAAGGUUUUCGGAUCGUAAAGCUCUGUUGUAAGUCAAGAACGGGUGUGAGAGUGGAAAGUUCACACUGUGACGGUGGCUUACCAGAAAGGGACGGCUAACUACGUG